rnacentral:rRNA from 1 species
UGCCAGCCGACGCGGUAAUACGUAAGUCGCAAGCGUUAAUCGGAAUUACUGGGCGUAAAGCGCGCGUAGGUGGUCAAGUCAGUCAGAUGUGAAAGCCCUGGGCUCAACCUGGGAACUGCAUCUGAUACUGCUUGACUAGAGUAUGGUAGAGGGGUGUGGAAUUUCCUGUGUAGCGUUGAAAUGCGUAGAUAUAGGAAGGAACACCAGUGGCGAAGGCGACACCCUGGACCAAUACUGACACUGAGGUGCCAAAGCGUGGGGAGCAAACAGGAUUAGAUA